GUGGCACUGACCCACAGGUGGGUAAGAGAGAAGGAAAGGUUGCAUAACUGUGGAGAGAUGGAAUUAGAAGGUCAUGCUAGCCUGGGUAGCGUGGGACGAGAAUAAAGCUUGUUAUUUGAGACUUCCUGCUCACUUUGAGAGCAACACAGGGUACCAGAUGGCUUCAAAACAGCAGGUGUAGAAUGAUGAUUACUUGCUUUGUCAUUUUAAACUAAGAGCAAUAAUUAUUUUUUAAGGCAGUGUUCCUGGGAAGUGGAAAAUGCAUGGAUUCGUACAAGCCUGGUAUCUUUUUCUUAAGGAUGGAACAUCUUCAGCUGUAAAAUUCAAAGUUGCUUUAGAUAGGUGUUCUGUGUAAUUCAGCUUAAACAGAGUUUCUGCUGUGUUCUAGUGGUAUUCUAAGGCAAUUCUAAGGCUAUAUUGGGGCAUAUAUUUACGGGCCUGUAAACCACUUAAUUUGAAGAAAGCCGCUAGAAUUGGAAGGUAUGGCUCUAUGGGAAAUACACCACAGAAAUCGUUAGAAAGUCUUUUCUUUUUGCCUGAUGUGUCUUCUGGAGCUCAUCUUUUUCUUGUUUGUCAGAGCGACGUCUCCCGAGACCCAAAGGCUUCAGGGCAGAGGAUGAAGGCAGAACAGUUUCAAUGGAAAGCCAUUAACUUUUCCAGCUUUUCCCAAGGUAAAUCUCGAAGAGCAGAGUGAUUUUUCAAGAGGUGCAUCAACAGACGAAGUUUGUCUCAAAGUCUUUUACUUCUGAUGUAUUAGUGGAAGUUCUUCUUGUUGCUCUUGAUGUUCCUUGUGAGUCUCAACUCCAGCUAAGCUUUGGCGUCCCUGAUAGAGUCCCUACAUGCCCAGGCAGUGUUUCUGGAUUCUGCCUUUGCAGAAGGCCUCAGCUGCUAGGGAGAAGAUGCAUUUCUGUCCUCAGCUGAAGAGGCCCUGCUGUACUGGGAUCAAAGUGGGAAUUACACCGAACACUUCCAGAAAGAAGGCCAAUACCUAAAUAUGGAUUUAUGUUCCUAACUUUAGUCGAACAUGUUGACCGAAGAGACUGGGACAAGGACACAUAUUGUGAAAGUGGGAGAAUCAAAGAAGAACUGCAGGAGCCUUGGUGCCCUGCCAUUUGUUUGAUCCCUGGGAGACUGCCUCAGUACUCAGUGUGAAAGGGCUCCUCAUCAGGUACCAACUAGGACGAUGCGCUGAGAUCCAGGGUUCAGUUUGGGGGCCCACUUCACUUGAGGCACAAAGUGCAUAGCCCGGUUAGGCAUACUCAUCAACAUUGGAGCUAUAAUGAAGAAAGUGGAAUUGAAGCCAAGUACUGCUGACAGUGCAGUUCUUCUGUGAACCCUAGCAGUUGUCACAGUCCCUUGGGGAAUUGUUAUGAAGAUAUCCUGGGAUUUCCCUCCUGAAGAGUUUUGAAAUUUUGGGUUGUUGGCUGUACAAAGGGAUAAAAGUGAAUAUCCUUCAUAAAACUUAAUUCCUGGCACUGCUCAGUACUAGUGAUGACUGCUGUAUUGACAGAGCUUUGGUGGUGAUAAUAGAUUGGAUAUAACACUUCAAAGAAAGUGGAGAGUAGAAAGCCACAAUCUAGAAAAUGUUUUAGGGAACAAGCUAGCACAAGACUUGCAGAGCUAAAAUGGCUUUCCUGUCUUCCACUUUUCUGAUUCUGUGACCCCGUACUAUGUGUUGUUAACCCAUUAAAAUAAGCUUUGAG